rnacentral:tRNA from 1 species
AACUAAUGAGCUUGAACAAGCAUAUAUUUUGAAAAUAUAUGAAAGAAUUAUUAACUUCUAUUAGUUU